rnacentral:rRNA from 1 species
AACGAACGCUGGCGGCAUGCCUAACACAUGCAAGUCGAACGAGACCUUCGGGUCUAGUGGCGCACGGGUGCGUAACGCGUAUGCAAUCUACCUUUUACAGAGGGAUAGCCCAGAGAAAUUUGGAUUAAUACCUCAUAGUAUAACGACUCGGCAUCGAGAUGUUAUUAAAGUUCCAACGGUAAAAGAUGAGCAUGCGUCCCAUUAGCUUGUUGGUAAGGUAACGGCUUACCAAGGCAACGAUGGGUAGGGGUCCUGAGAGGGAGAUCCCCCACACUGGUACUGAGACACGGACCAGACUCCUACGGGAGGCAGCAGUGAGGAAUAUUGGUCAAUGGGCGCAAGCCUGAACCAGCCAUGCCGCGUGCAGGAUGACGGUCCUAUGGAUUGUAAACUGCUUUUGUACAGGAAGAAACACUCCCUCGUGAGGGAGCUUGACGGUACUGUAAGAAUAAGGAUCGGCUAACUCCGUGCCAGCAGCCGCGGUAAUACGGAGGAUCCAAGCGUUAUCCGGAAUCAUUGGGUUUAAAGGGUCCGUAGGCGGGUUUAUAAGUCAGUGGUGAAAGCCCAUCGCUCAACGAUGGAACGGCCAUUGAUACUGUAGAUCUUGAAUUAUUAGGAAGUAACUAGAAUAUGUAGUGUAGCGGUGAAAUGCUUAGAGAUUACAUGGAAUACCAAUUGCGAAGGCAGGUUACUACUAAUGGAUUGACGCUGAUGGACGAAAGCGUGGGUAGCAAACAGGAUUAGAUACCCUGGUAGUCCACGCCGUAAACGAUGAAUGUUAGCCGUCGGGCAGUAUACUGUUCGGUGGCGCAGCUAACGCAUUAAACAUUCCGCCUGGGGAGUACGGUCGCAGAUUAA